rnacentral:rRNA from 1 species
AGCGUUGUUCGGAUUUACUGGGCGUACAGGGAGCGUAGGCGGUUGGGUAAGCCCUUCGUGAAAUCUCCGGGCCUAACCCGGAAAGUGCGGAGGGGACUGCUCGGCUAGAGGAUGGGAGAGGAGCGCGGAAUUCCCGGUGUAGCGGUGAAAUGCGUAGAGAUCGGGAGGAAGGCCGGUGGCGAAGGCGGCGCUCUGGAACAUCUCUGACGCUGAGGCUCGAAAGCGUGGGGAGCAAACAGG